rnacentral:tRNA from 1 species
GGCGGAGUAGCUCAGUUGGCUAGAGCACACGGUUCAUACCCGUGGUGUCAGGAGUUCAAAUCUCCUCUCCGCUA